rnacentral:rRNA from 1 species
UUGGAGGGCAAGUCUGGUGCCAGCAAGCCGCGGUAAUUCCAGCUCCAAUAGCGUAUAUUAAAGUUGUUGCAGUUAAAAAGCUCGUAGUUGAACUUCGGGAUCAAUGGAUCGGUCAUGCCAUCGGUAUGUACUGGUCUCAUUGGUUCUCACCUUCUAAGGAACCAUAAUGUCAUUCAUUUGAUGUUGUGGGAAUUAGGACUGUUACCUUGAAAAAAUUAGAGUGUUUAAAGCAGGCUAACGCUUGAAUACAUUAGCAUGGAAUAAUGAAAUAGGACAUCGCAUUCUAUUUUGUUGGUUUCUAGGAUCGAUGUAAUGAUUAAUAGGGAUAGUUGGGGGCAUUAGUAUUCAAUUGUCAGAGGUGAAAUUCUUGGAUUUAUUGAAGACUAACUACUGCGAAAGCAUUUGCCAAGGAUGUUUUCAUUAAUUAAGAACGAAAGUUAGGGGAUUGAAGACCAUCAGAUACCGUUGUAGUCUUAACCAUAAACUAUGCCGACUAGGGAUCGGAUGAUGUUAAUUUUUUAAUGACUCAUUCGGCGCCUUACGGGAAACA